GCCGGCGCCCCAGCUCCACUCUGGGAUCCCAAACCAGGCCUGUCCCAAGUCCUCCAGGGACCCGCCAGCCCGCGGCCCCUUACCUUGGCCUGGCAUUUCCGAUGACAGGAGAAGCUGCAGACUGCAAGAGGGCGAGACACAGAAAGAAAGUUUUAGCCGCGAGGUCCUACCGGUGGGGUGAGGGGUCUGCUGAGCUGAUUUCUGCACCUACUUGGAUCUUGUUGGCUGCCCAGGACCUACUGAGGCAGAGCCAUGGACCGCUCUCGAGUGCAGACUGAUCACAUCAGGGCCCUGCAUGGGACUCCCGUCCAGCUCCUCAGCACGUCUCAUAAGGCCCUGCACAGCCUGGUCUAGCCUCCAGCUCCAGCCGACGCUGCGAAAGAGAUCGCUGUUCCUGCCAUGCCAAACUCCCCAACCAGACCCUUGAGUCUGCAAGGAGCCGAGGCCCUGCUCAACAUGUCCCCCCCUGGGUGAUCAGGUGUUCAAAGAUGGUCCCUCCCUUUCUAUCCUCCCAGAACCCCCAGCUCACAGCCUUUGGAAAGCUCUUGUCACCUUGGAGGAUUAAGUAUUCCUUCAGGAAUUGCUCUCCUCACCACCCCCACAUCCAGCUGCUUCUCUGGGGCAAAAAGGGAGGUUCUGUUCAACAUUGCAGCUUUGUCUCCUGCCCCUUCCCUAGCGCAGCGCCAGGCAUACAGAUGGGGCUCAACUAAUGUGAAGGAAAUUUCACAUCAGAAGAAUUCUCUCCAGUCUAAACCCCUGGGACAAGGGGCAAUGUUCUGGGGCAACGGAACAACAGAAGUGAGGGUGGGUGAGCCCCACUCUUCGGCUCCAGCCCCCGCUGGGAGAGGGCAAGUAGGGACCCUGGGAGUCAGUCAGUGCUUCCCAAGCUGCUUCGGUGCUACCACCACCAGUGACUAAGCCAGGUAAGGUGGGUGGUGUGGGGUGGGGGCUGAGGGAGUUAAGCGAACCUUCACCCGCUCAUCCUCUGGUCCUGCUAUUUGUCUACACGCUCACCACCUGGCGGCAUCCAGAGUGGCUCUCAGCUCCAAUGCAGAUCAUGCACUUGCUGUGUGAUCUAGGGCAGCUCACUUAACCACUCUGAGCCUCUACUUCCUCAUCUGUAAGAUGGGGGCGAUAAUAGCAUCUCCCUUACGGGCUGCUGUGAGGAUUAAACAAGCCCUAGCAUUUAUGCUCGGCACAGAGUAUGCCCCAUAGAAGGGUACGCUGCCAUCAGUGGCAUCUUCAUCGCUUUGUCUUCACUGUCAUUGUGAAGAAGAGGCUCCAUCUCCUAGACAAGAGACCUCAGUUCUAGUCCUGAGUGCUGUCAUAGAGCUGUGUGACCUGAAGCAAGUCACUGCCCAUCUCUGGGUCUCAGACUCCUGCCCCCUGACUGGCAGCUUCCAGGGUGAAUUGGGCCCACACCCUUGCCUUCGUUAGAGAGCUAAGUGUUUAAAACACCAAGACUUGUUUGCCUAAUUGGAAUGCAGUGGGCAGAGCAGCUCUCCCCAGAUGCUGGGAUUUCUACCAUGUCCUGCUGGUCCACACUCAAUCACCUGCCCCAACCCUGAAGGCCCUGCCAUUUGUGCCCCUGGAACAGGUGGUCUCCAAGCUCUUCCAGCUGUGAGAGCCUGGUCGGAAAAUGAGCACAUAGCCUCCGAGUGCACCUGACCCAGCAAUGACCACGCACAUGCCCUGUCCAGCCUCCGCUCCUGCCCCGGCUGGCAGAGCCACAGGCCUGGCCGCGCACCUGCUCACCGGCCACUCAGCCCUGCCCCGCCUGUUCACCUCCAGGGCCCGGGCUGGAAGUGUGUGGUGGUUAAUCUCAUGAGUCAACUUGUCUAGGCCAUGAGACCCAGAUAUUUGGUCAAACAGUAUUCUAGAUGUUUCUGAGAAGGUAUUUUUUUAAUGAGAUUCACGUUUAAGUCAGUAAACUCUGUGUAAAGCACAUUACCCUCCAUAAUGUGGGUGGGUCUCAUCCAGUGAGUUGAAAGACUUAAUAGAGAAGACUGACCUCCCUAAGCAAGAACGAAUUCUGCCAACACACUGCUUCUGGACUUGAACACUACUCUUCCCUGGGUCUCCAGCCCGACAGCCAACCCUGCAGAUUUUGGGUUUUGCAAAUCUCCACAAUCACAUGAGCAAAUCCCUUAAAAUAAAUCUCUGCCUAUCUAUCUCUAUGCACAUCCUGUCGAUUCUGCUCCUCUGGAGAACCCUGACUAAUGUCUCAGAGGGUGGUCAGGGGCUGA